rnacentral:rRNA from 1 species
GUGCCAGCAGCCGCGGUAAUACGUAGGUGGCAAGCGUUGUCCGGAUUUAUUGGGCGUAAAGCACGUGCAGGUGGUUUCUUAAGUCUGAUGUGAAAUCCCACGGCUUAACCUUGGAGGGGCAUUGCAAACUGGGUGACUUGAGUGCAGAAGAGGAAAGUGGAAUUCCAAGUGUAGCGGUGAAAUGCGUAGAGAUUUGGAAGAAUACCAGUGGCGAAGGCGGCUUUCUGGACUGUAACUGACGCUGAGGCGCGAAAGCAUGGGGAGCAAACAGGAUUAGAUACCCUGGUAGUCCAUGCCGUAAACGAUGAAUGCUAAGUGUAAGAGGGUU